ACCCCAAAAGUAAAGGAUUCUCUCGCAUUUAAAAAUAAAGAAGUGUCAUAAGUAAACUUUUAUUCAUGGUGAAUGUUUAUAUUUAAAGAGAUUUUAGGGUUUAUUUUGGUGGCUAAGUCACACUCUUCUUAUAAAUAGGGGGUUAUAUUCUAUUGUAAUUCAUUCCAAAAUCAAUAAGAAUUAUCUUCUCUCUAUUUUUCUCUGCAAUACUCUUCUUCUUGUAUUGUUCAUUACACGUUAUCAGUACGAGACUCUAGCCGAUUGAGUAGAAGCUUUGAGAUUGAGCAUAAUUGUCGCACCCCGAACCUGGACCUGGACGUAACACGACACUCAGUGCCUGACUACAUGUGACCGAGCGAACCAACUGGCUGGCUGAAUCAAUAUGUGAUAUCAUAACAUACUCAAUGCAGAAGAUAAACUAACACAGCUAAUAUACUGAAAGUCUGUAUGCUAUACAUGGUGCCGAAAUACUAAUACAACUCUGAAACAUAUUUGUAGCCCACAUAGCUUAACAUGAAAAGCCUUAGACUCUGUCUAACUGUUACUCUAGUCUAUGAAGCCUCUAAUGAAGUACUGAAAAUAUUGACUAUCUAUAAAUACUGAAGGAUUGUAAAGCAAUGAUAAUGCCCCGAAAGAACUGGGGAUCACCAAACCGCUGAUACGAGAGUCCUAGCGCUCUGAAUCGUCGACCUGUAAAUCACUACCUGCAUUGUGAGAUGAAAGCCCCAGCAAAAGGGGUGUCGGUACAUUUGAAUUAUACUGGUAUGUAAGUCAACUUAAAGAAAUAACUAUAAAUGCUGAAACUAAUACUGAACUGAUAACUGAGAAUUGCUAAUUGAUAACUGAAAGGAUAGCUAUUGAAACUGAAACUGAAAAUGAUAAUUGAUAGCUGAUAACUGAAAUAUUAACUGAUAACUAUUAAAUGAAAUGAUAACUAAUAGCUGAUAACUGAAAUGUUAACUGAUAACUGAUAGCUAAUAACAUAAUAACUGAUAGCUGAACUGAACGAAGGAAGUAAGGUUAUGAAUAUUCUGAAUGAGGAACAACCUGUAUAUCUGAAUAAGCUAUAGCUUUGGGUCCAAUAUAUAUAUAUAUAUAUAUAUAUAUAUGUGUGUGUGUGUGUGUGUGUGUGUGUGUGUGUGCGCGCGCGCGCGCGCGCGCAUGGGCGCAAGCUACGGCCUCAGGCCCAAAAAUGCAUAAAGCAUAAACUACGGCCUCAGACCCAGACAUGUAUAAAGCAUAAACUACAGCCUCAGGCCCAAGUAUGCAUAAAGCAUAUAAAAUACAGCCUCAUGCCCAAAUAGAGGUGUUCAACAUUCAGGGAUUUAGAAUCAGGAACUGAGAAUCAUAUUGCAAGACAUAAUAAUGAAAUACUUAAUCACACUAAGUCACAUGAUACUGGAAUACUGGAUCACACUGAGUUACAUAAUACUGGAAUACUGAAUCAAACUGAGUUACAUAAUACUGGAAUACUGAAUAUGACUAGACUGAGACAUGUGUUCUUGAAUUGAUUAUGAACACUGAAACUUUAACUCUUUAUGACAUGCUGAGUAAGCUAUAGUGAGACUCAGGGACAUCGAACCCAAGUCUAUAUUGAAUAUGAACUGAGCUCACAAUGUUCGAAAUGAAAGUCAUGAACGAGUUAUGACGCUAGAGAAUAGAAGUUCUACAACUAUUCAAAGAACUAGGUUUAACUAUAUUUCUGAGGCAAUUGAUAACAUGGUAAAAGAAACGUAAUGUAGGGAGAAUCAUUAAUAUUCCCAAACAUAGAGAGUUAGCUUGACAUACCUUAACUUUCUGCUCUUGAACGUAAUACAACAUUCGCCAACCCUUUCAACUUUAAUCUAUAUCAAUAAAAGUCAAAGGGAUUUCAUAUUAGCAAUAGUUCUAAUAUGAAAUCCCUUCACUUAACAAUUUUCUCAAACACUUAGUGACAUAAAGCUUCAUAGUCCUUCUUAAUGAUGUCUUAUGAACUAGAGUCUAUAAUCAUUAACCCAAUAGUAUAAUCAAUUAGAGGAUGAAGACAUUACCUUUUUAAAGUUCAAUCCUCUAGAAUUCGAGUUCUAGAAUUUUUUCUCUCAACAAUGAUGCCCCAAUCGAAUAUCUAAUAAUUUGGACCCAUGUUAAUAAGAAGUUGAGAAAUUAACAUUAACUUAUAAUUACCAUUAGAACUUACCUUGGAUGGUGGAGGGACCUCUAAGGAGUUAGGUUUUCGAGAGUUCCCCAUUCUAGAGCAAGUGGGUUAUGGGGGACGAAAUAUGUCUUUAAUGCGACCCCUCACAAGCGCGCCCGCGCACCUAGAGACCUACCGGCACCACUGACAGCGCAAAACGGCAGUAGCAUUAACUCAAAAUUAGUGCGGUCGCGCUAUGGGUGUGCUACUGGGAGCACAUAUUGCAUACUACUCUGUAACAUGCACAUAACUUUUUGCACAGAGAUCUGUCCGGGCUCCAUAAUAUAUUCUUAGAAAUCUAUUUUAAUGCCCUACAACUUUCAUGCUUUGAGUUUUCCCAAAUUCCUUAUACAUUUUCACUAAACCCUGCUGGAAGACAUACCAUUUUAAUAUAUCCUUAUACAUUCUAUUACUAUAACUUGUAGCAGGAUAAUAUGUAUGUAAAAAGUUACCUGCUUUAUUCUUCAAUUUGUGCUACAUAAAUAAAAGAAUACAAUAAUGAAGUAGAAGUUUAUUGAUAUAAAAACUCAUAUCAUAACAAACUUGAAUUUUUUUUGAUACUUGCACACGUCAUGGUGUAAACUUGAAGUUUAUCAAUUUUGAUAAUUUAUCCAAUUGUCAUAAUUGAUAGAUUUGGGGCCAAAAGCGGUUAGCGGUGACCAUUGAAUAAGUUUCUUCGGCUUGAGUUGGGUUGAAAGCACGGAAUGUAUUUGCACCAUCACCGUCUUCAAAUAAAGUAUUUUCUACGGUAGCACCANNNNNNNNNNNNNNNNNNNNNNNNNNNNNNNNNNNNNNNNNNNNNNNNNNNAAUAAAGUAUUUUCUACGGUAGCACCAUGAAUGGCGCAUAGCAAAGCAGCGCCCAAUACACCGGCAACUCCCAUCAUAUGAAACGGGUUCAACGUCCAUC
rnacentral:lncRNA from 1 species